UAGUUUCAUUCUUCAAAUCUAAGUUUCCGCUCAUUCUUAUCCAUGUGGCACAAUUUAGUGCAAUCUAGCAGUACACGGCAGUAAUUUAGGAAUUAGGCACCCCAAAUAAUUGAAAUUCAAAUUUCAAUUUCAAGAGAAAAUUCUGCCUUUUCAACUAUCUUAGUUGCCCAUGGCCUUUGGCCACGUGACAAAAAAGUUCAUGAGGAUGUAUGUAGUUCUGAAGAAUGGCACAUGCAGGUUCAUUACAGAAUUCGAUGGUUUUGUUCAUAGCAGUUGAUGAGUUGAAGGAGCCCCUGAAUCAAGGCAAAGAGAACGAUGAUAAAUGUAGUUCAGUAGCGAGCAAUUGAGUCUGUUGUUGACACGUAAUUGUGUUGGGUGGAAAAAGUGGGUUCCACAAGUAUAAGAUACGAUCGUCUCGUAUUUUAUGAAUUUAUUUAAUGUACUAAUAGAUAUGUAGGGACUUGAUGUAAUAAUGCCACG
rnacentral:lncRNA from 1 species